rnacentral:rRNA from 1 species
GAUGAACGCUGGCGGCGUGCCUAAUACAUGCCAGUCGAGCGAACAGACGAGGAGCUUGCUCCUCUGACGUUAGCGGCGGACGGGUGAGUAACACGUGGAUAACCUACCUAUAAGACUGGGAUAACUUCGGGAAACCGGAGCUAAUACCGGAUAAUAUAUUGAACCGCAUGGUUCAAUAGUGAAAGACGGUUUUGCUGUCACUUAUAGAUGGAUCCGCGCCGCAUUAGCUAGUUGGUAAGGUAACGGCUUACCAAGGCAACGAUGCGUAGCCGACCUGAGAGGGUGAUCGGCCACACUGGAACUGAGACACGGUCCAGACUCUUACGGGAGGCAGCAGUAGGGAAUCUUCCGCAAUGGGCGAAAGCCUGACGGAGCAACGCCGCGUGAGUGAUGAAGGUCUUCGGAUCGUAAAACUCUGUUAUUAGGGAAGAACAAAUGUGUAAGUAACUAUGCACGUCUGGACGGUACCUAAUCAGAAAGCCACGGCUAACUACGU